rnacentral:rRNA from 1 species
GACGAACGCUGGCGGCGUGCUUAACACAUGCAAGUCGAACGGAGUUCCUUGGAUAGAGGCUUCGGCCAAUUGAAUUGGAACUUAGUGGCGGACUGGUGAGUAACGCGUGAGGAACCUGCCUUUCAGAGGGGGACAACAGUUGGAAACGACUGCUAAUACCGCAUGACACAUUCGGGCGGCAUCGCUUGAAUGUCAAAGAUUUUAUCGCUGAAAGAUGGCCUCGCGUCUGAUUAGAUAGUUGGUGGGGUAACGGCCUACCAAGUCGACGAUCAGUAGCCGGACUGAGAGGAUGAACGGCCACAUUGGGACUGAGACACGGCCCAGACUCCUACGGGAGGCAGCAGUGGGGAAUAUUGCACAAUGGGGGAAACCCUGAUGCAGCGACGCCGCGUGAAGGAUGAAGGUCUUCGGAUCGUAAACUUUUGUCUUCAGGGACGAUAAUGACGGUACCUGAGGAGGAAGCCAACGGCUAACUACGUGCCAGCAGCCG